AUUCAACGCCGGACAUCUCACCAGGAGCGACAGCUGUAUGAUUACCAGGCUGAUGACCUUGUUUGACUAGCUGAGAGGAGGUGCAUGGCCGCCGUCAGCUCGUACCGUGAGGCGUCCUGUUAAGUCAGGCAACGAGCGAGACCCAA
rnacentral:rRNA from 1 species